rnacentral:lncRNA from 1 species
ACUUGCUAUUUUUCUGAUCAAGUUUUUGGCGCCGUUGUCGGGGACUGCCAAAAUAUAAAGUUUAAAUUUAGUUCAAUUGAAAUUUUGUUGCUCUACAACUAAAGUUUUAUUUCUUUAUUUUAAUUUAUUUCGACCUUUAUCAACUAAUCUGCCUCUGAUAUUUUAUGCGAGGUAAGACCUCAGCUGAAUUUCCUGCUGGGAGUAU